GGGGGGAUUCCCGAGUGGUCAAAGGGAGCAGACUGUAAAUCUGUUGCGGAAUGCUUCGGUAGUUCGAAUCUACCUCCCCCCACCA
rnacentral:tRNA from 1 species